CUUGAACCUGGGAGGUGGAGGUUGCAGUGAGCCAAGAUCGCACCACUGCACUCCAGCCUGGGCAACAAGAGCGAAGCUCCAACUCAAAAAAAAAAACAACAAAAAAAUUAUGACAGAGAAAGAGAUCUGACCUAACCAACUCCAUCUUGCCUUUAACCUCCAAGCUGCCCUGUUCAUUCCUGGGCAUAGGCUGAACUUAGUUUAUAGUUUAACUUUGAAACAAAGAUGCUAACAGCCCUUUCCCUAAACAAACCCCUUCCUGCCUGAGGACCAGACUGUCUUUGUAAGACUAACAGGUUAGCCAUAAGAUUUGAAAUUAUGGUUUAGGAGUCACGCAGCUGGCUACAAGAUUCUGAACCUUCCCAGUUCCUCCUAGGGAUAACAUCGCGAUUGUAAAACCUAAGAUUGGCACUUGAGGUAUUUCUCAGACCCUGCACUGCUGAUGCACUCUGAUGCACAAACUGGUGCCACCCAGGCCUGUAAUCUGGCUCAACCAGUUCUGCGAUCCUACCCAGGAACAGAAGACAGCAAGAAUCCACUUCAGGCGGAUGAUUCACGCCUGUAAUCCCAACACUUUGGGAGGCCGAGGUGGGCAGAUCAUUUGAGGUUAGGAGUUCGACACCAGCCUGGCCAACAUGGUGAAACCUCAUCUUUACUAAAAAUACAAAAAUUAGCCGGGCAUGGUAGCGCAUGUCUGUAAUCCCAGCUACUUGGGAGGCUGAGGCAGGAGAAUUGCUUGAACCCGGGAGGCAGAGGCUGCAGUGUGCCGAGAACGCGCCACCACACUCUAGCCUGGGUGACAGAGGGAGACUCUAUCUCCAAAAAAAAAAAAAAAAAAAAAAAAAUCGACUUCAACCCCCGUAUGAUUUCAUCUUCAGUCUGACCAAUACGCACUCCCCAAUCCCUGGUCCCAGACCUGCUGAAUCAUCCUUAAAAGACCCAUUUUUGAAUUUUCGAGGGGCUGAUUUAAGUAAUAAUAAAUUCCAGUCUCCUGUUUAGCCAGCUCUACAUGUAUUAAACUCUUUCUAUUGCAAUUCCCCUGUCUUGAUAAAUCGGCUCUACCUGGGCAACGGGCUAGAACUUGUUGGGCUGUUACUAAGACAGUGUAAGAUCAAGCUUCAUUCUGGCCCACUCUCCCCAUCUCACCCAGAAGAGGUGGCCUCCUAGGCUGCCCCUUCCUCUCUUGAUCUGACUGGGAUUUCCCCCCUGUUAGGGAGCUCUGGAAGAACCCCCAGUCCCAGGCCCCACCUGGCUCUGAGCUGGGUUUACAGGAAGCCCCCUGUGCACCCCUGUCCCAUGAGGUCAUGUGGAAAAACCCUGGGAAACUCUAACACCUGCUGCAGGUGCUGGCUGUUCCUUUUUUUUUUCUUUUUUUUCAAGCUGUAGAAUUUCUCUGCCAUGCAAAACUUGUUGAUAAUAAUAUAACAAACAUUUCCAUCUCUAUUGCCCUGCUUAGGAAAUAAAUCUUACGGGGACACUGGAAGACUCUUGGGUGUCCCUUCCUGAUCCUGUUCCCCACCUCUGUCACCAGGGGUAACCCAAACCUGAACUGCGUGUUUAUCCAUAAAUGAUAAGUGGUAUUGCUUUGCAUGGUUUUAAACUUUCAGUAGCGGUUUCUGUCUUUUAUUCAUUCAUAAACUCACAAACAUAUACAUAUUGAGAACCUACUGUAUGUGAGGCACCAACCUAAGCCCUGGGAACAUCCGUAAACAACAGAGAGGAUUACUGCUCUCAUGGGACACACAUUCUGGUGGGGUGAGCCAAACCAUAAACAAAAGAAUUGAAGAACACAAGUAUCUGGCAUGAAGAAAAUAUCCUACAAGUUUGCAGAGAAAAAGUGGAUUUCAUACAAAGGAUCAUGGAUCCGAAUGGCACUGGAUUCUUUAACAGCGUCAGUGGGAACCGGAACAUGAUGGAGGAAUAUGUUCAAAAUUCUGAAAGAAAGAGUUUGUAGUUAAAUUAGUGACGAAAAUUAGUAAACCAAGCCAAUGGUAAAAACGAGACAAUUGGGCCGGGUAGAGUGGCUCGCACCUGUAAUUCCAGCACUCUGGGAGGCUGAGGCUGUGGAUCAUCUGAGGUCAGGAGUUUGAGACCAGUGUGGCCAACAUGGCAAAACCCCAUCUCUACUGAAAGUACAAAAAUUAGCUGGGCUUGGUGGCGCGUGCCUGUAGUCCCAGCUACUCAGGAGGCUGAGAUAGGAGAAUCACUUGAACUUGGGAGGUGGAGGCUUCAGUGAGCCAAGACUGUGCCAUUAAACUCCCGUCUGGGGGACAGAGAGAGAUUCUGUCUCAAAAAAAAAAAAAAAAAAAAGCAAGACAAUUAUUAACUCUGAAAAUCUUGAAAACAGAUUUGCAGUCAGAAUAAAGCAAAUAACGAAUAUUGAUCUGAUCAGAAUGACAAAUAACUAUAUUGGGAGGCUGUGGGGGGUGGGAAUACAUGUAUUAAUAUGCGUUUUGUUCCAGGGUGGGGGGUAUUGUGAGUGAGUGAUUGAUGAGAGCCAAAUUCUCCCCUUCCAUAAUGAAAAAUCACUAUAUAAUGUAUAAACCUGAAAAAUCAAGAAGUAGCAAUAUAAGCAUGGUAUUUAGAGAAAAUACACUAAAUACUUAAAGGAUUGAAAUAGUAUCUCUGAGGCUGUGUAUGGUGGCUCAUGCUUGCAAUCCCAACAGUUUGGGAGGCCAAGGCAGGAGGACUGCUUGAGCCUAGGAGUUCAAGACCAGCUUGGGCAACACAGGGAGACCCCUGUCUAGGAUAAAUGAUAAAAGUUAGCUGGGCAUGGUGGCACAUGCCUGUGGUUCCCACUACUCAGGAGGCUGAGAAGGGAAAAUCACUUGUACCCUGGAGGUCGAAGCUACAGUGAGCCGAGAUCAUGCCACUGCACUCCAGCCUGGGAGACAGAGUGAGACCCUGUCUCAAAAAAGAAAAAAAAAAAAAAAGUAUCUCUGGGACUGAAAAAGCAGAGCAGGGCCAUGACUGGGGGAGUGGCUUCAGGGAAUUGCUGAUUUUUGUAACAAAUCUUGUAGAAUUUUUUGACCUUUGAAAUCAUGUGCAUGUAUAACUUGAUACAAAUUAAAGUUAAAUUUAAAAGCUCCCCUGAGAUUAGCAGCCUUGAACAUAUGUCUUUCACAUCUCUUCAUUUGUUUCCUUAGGAUAAAUUCCAGAGGUGGGACUGCUGGGUCAACAGGCAUAAGUGUUUUCAAGACCGUAUCACCCACAGUGGUAAACAGGGCACCCAUCUUUCCCUUUCCAGAGGGUUAAUAGCCUUUACUUGCCAGUCUUUGCAAACACCAUUAUCAAUUUUCACAUCUCUGCCAAUCUGAUGGUAAAACGUGGUAUUACAUGGUAGUUUUAAUUUGUGCUUCUUUGACUACUAAAUAGUUUUACAUAGUUAACAUAUUUAACCAUUUUUAGUUCUUCUUUUAUUAAUUUCCUGUUACUGUUAUUUGUCCAUUUUCUUCACCUUUUUCACUCUUGAUUUGUAAGGGCUCUUUAAAUAGCAAGCCUGCUCAUUCUCUAUCACACAUUGCAAAUAUUUCCCCCACAGUGGGCCCUUCUCCUUUCAAUGUUCUUUUUUGAUAUAAGGGAUUUUUUUGUUUUUAUAUAGUUAGUCUAUCACUUAUGUUUUUGGCCUUGGGGUUAUGCCCGGAAAGCCCUGGCUCAUCCGUGGGCCUUUUACAAGCGCAGCAUCUCCUACAGCUUCACCUACUAUUCCUAUCGAGUAUUUCAUCAACUCCAAGUUUUUCACAUUUUUAAUCUCUGAAACUGGGAUGGUGCUCAGGUAGUAGUCACUGCCUGCUGCAAAUCAGGAUGUGCAGAAAACAUCAGUGAUUUGUCAACAAAAGUCCCAGAGACGACAGUGGGGUAUUCUGCAAGAAAUGCUGCAACGUCACCUGUUUCUUUUUCCUGCUGGGCACGGAAGGAGGUAACAUUUCUCAGCCUCCCUUGCAGUUAGGAGUGGCCGCGUGACCAGGUUCUAGCCACUGGACUGUGGGUGGAGGUGAUACAGGUGCCUUGCCCGGUUGGCCCAUAAAACCUCCCACAAGAUCCUCUACUGUCUUUCUUCCUGUUUGCCGUCAGAGGAGCUGGCAGUGGCUCUGGGGGAUGGCACAAGCAGUGGAGGUCCCUGAAUGGCCACAUGGGAGGCAGCUGGCUAACCAGGGAUUCUCACUGCUCUUUGUGUAAACAAGUAAUUUACUUCCAUUGUGUUCAGCCAUUGAGGUUUGGAGUUAUGUUCCUCACAGCAGCUAGCAUUGCUGAUACCUAACUGACACCCUUGUCUUCAUUCUGACUCUAAUCCAAACUCCUCUAGACGGGGUUUAGUGUUUUAUCAUUAGUAUGAUGUUGAUUCUUGAUUUUAGAUAGAUACACUUUAUCUUGUGCUCUUUUAAAAAUCAAGUCUUAGUAUUGGAGUUAUGCAAAGUGUGUAAAAUUAAUUGGAAAAUUUUUAACUUUUUUCUAAGCUCUGGGAAAGGUUGCAUAGCACAGAAAUUAACUGUUGGGUGAAACUGACAAAAUUCAUCCUAAGAACUGUGUGUGUCCUUUUGUAAGAGCACUGCUUUAACAAGCUUUACUUUUUUUAAGACAGAGUCUUGCUCUGUCGCCCAAGCUGGAGUGCAGUGGUACCAUCUCAGCUCACAGCAACCUCCACCCCCUUGGUUCAAGCAAUUCUCAUGCCUCAGCCUCUUGAGUAGCUGGGACUACAGGUACUCACCACCAUGCCUGGCUAAUUUAUUUAUUUAUUUAUUUAUUUAUUUAUUUAUUUAUUUAUUUAUUUAUUUAGUAGAGAUGGGGUUUCACUAUGUUGGCCAGGAUGGUCUUGAACUCCUGACCUCAAGUGAUCAGCCCGCCUUGGCCUCCCAAAUUCCUGGGAUUACAGGCAUGAGCCACCAUGCCCGGCCUACUUUCUUUUUCUUUUCAAACUAACUUUUGUUAUAGACUAAAUUGUGUUUCCCCAAAAUUCAUAGGUUGAAGCCCUAAACCCCAAUGUGACUGUAUAUGGAAACAAGGUCUUUAAGGAGGUAAUUAAGGUAAAAUGAGGUCACAAGGGUGGGACCCUCACGCAAUAUGACUGAUGUCCUUAAAAGAAGAAAGACACCAGGGACACGUGUGCACAGGGCAAAGGCCGUGGGAAGACAUAGCAAGAAGGUGGCUGUCGGCAGGCCAAGGAGAGAGGCCUCAGAAGAACUAAGCCUGCCAGCAUCUUGAACUUGGACUUCCAGACUCCAGAACUAUGCAGAAGACGUGUUUGGAGCCAUCUGUGCCUCUGAAACAGACCCCCAUACAAAAGUGCUGUCUUGGCCCUACGAGACAGCUCAUGUGGGGCUGGGAGGCACCUGGGAAGUGAGGCCCACAAACAUGUCAGAGAUCUCGGCCUCAGCACCAGAGUGACAUCAUUUGAGAAAGACUGUUCUAGUCCAACCCUGCAGUUUUAUAGAUGGAGAAACUGAAGCCCAGAGACGGAAAGUGAUACUGAAAGUGAUUUCAACAGCUGGACUCAGAGUUGGUCUGAGACUCCUGGUCUGACACCUUUGAAUUCGGUCAGGUGAGGAACUCGGGAAGGUCUGCAGGUGGCGCUGCUUCUAAAGGGCCUUCGGGACACUUGGGCUCAAUUUUCUCACUUAACCUUGGGUUUCUGAUUGAGAGUGGGAAACGCUGCUUUUCCUGAUCUCAAAGGCGAAGGUUCCACCAAAGUUGUUCACACAAGUGUUAUAAGAGAAAAAUUUUAAACAAAUUAAAAUGUGGUACAU
rnacentral:lncRNA from 10 species